rnacentral:lncRNA from 1 species
AUGUGUGAACUUUUAACACCUUAUGCUUUCUUUUGGGACUAUAAAAAUUCCUGGAAGAAUAAUUUAUUUAUAUCACUGUUGGAGAGAAGUGGUAGGAUUUGGUGGAAUCUCUGCUGAUAAUUUUAUGCAAGAUUCUAGAGGGCAGAGUAGGUCAGCAUCCUAGAGAGAAUGGCAUCUACUUAAGGCCCACUGCUUGGGUUAAUUUAUAAGGAGAAAGAAUUGUAUGGCCUUACCAGCAGUGGAAAUACUUGAGAUCUCAUACAGAACCAAACCUUCAACUAUUAAGGAAUUUGAGGCCAGGACAGUCAAUGACUUGUCCGAGGCCACCAAGGCAAACUCGCUGGGCCACGGCUGGUAUAUAUGUAGGUCUCUGGCCCUACUCCUUGGUUUUGCAUGUUCUGCUUCUUGAUUUCACCAAAUUUGCUUAUUCUGGAAAGGGAGAAAAUCUCUCUUAAUCUGUUUCUGAAAUAAAAUUUUCUUUGCCAUUUGCAACACUCCAGAGAAUAGAAACAUAACAAAAUCGUUGUUUUUCAUUAGUACUUCCAUUUCCAGCCAUCUUGGCAAUCAAUCAGAACUUUUAUCUUCUUGCCUGAAGAGACAAGGACAUUUAAUUCACAACAAUUUCCUUUUUCCUUUCUCUCAGUGACUCUAUUAAAUAAAACAUGAUGGAUCACACUCUAUAUUUGCAUGCCAGCUAAAACAGGGGCAGAGCUCUGCUAGAACAGAGAGGAUCCUGCCCUUGCCUAAACCUGAUGCAGGUGAAGUGGAGGUUGGUGCUGGGAAAUGCUUAAAGUUUGUACAUGUGAACAUUUUUCUCUCAAGGAAAGGGGCACCAUUAAUAGUCAGAAUGAGAACUGGAAGCUGUGCUAAAAAUUAAUAAGUAAAUUCCAGUCAGCAAAGAUUGUAGUCCUGUAUAACUGAGGCUAAUUCUUAUUUUAUUUUUUAUUUUUAUUAUAGCUGAUUUACAAUGUUCUGUCAAUUUCUGCUGUACAGCAAAAUGACCCAGUCAUACAUGUAUAUAUAGACACAUAUUCUUUUUCUCACAUUAUCCUCCAUCAUGUUUCAUCACAAGUGAUUGGAUCUAGUUCCCUGUGCUAUACAGCAGGAUCUCAUUGUUUAUCUACUCCAAAUGCAAUACAAUAGUUUGCAUCUAAUCCCAAACACCCAAUCCAUCCCACUCCCUCCCCCUCCCCCUUGGAAACCACAAGUCUGUUUUCCAAGUCCAUGAGUUUGUUUCUUUUCUGUAGUUAGGUCCAUUUGUGCUAGGCUAAUUUUUUAAAUAGCACUUGAAUUUUAGAGAACUGAGCUGGGGGAUAAUCUGGUGAAAUAUUCCUGUUUCUAGACUGGUCCUUUCAGUUAAUUGCCUCUUUCUCAUAACAGAACAGAGAGUUUUUUUUUUUUUUGAAUCUCUGCAUUUAUAGAGACGAUUCAUCUUUCUUCUUCUCCAAAGUGCUCAAGAAUGCUUGUCUUAUAUGUAUUUUAGAGUAUCGCAGUGUGCCUUGCUGUCUUUUGCAUAUGGAGCUAUUGAUGGUAGUGUUGACAGGACCACAAGGGCACUGCUCAGUCCAGCCAGAUGGUUUUGUGCAGACAGAGGAUGAUGUUUUUAUUUUGACAGAAUUUCUGGUUUGCUUCAAAUCAAGGUUAAAUAGUAAGGUGUUGACUUGAAGGCAGGAUUCCUGCCUCUUAGUGAGAAAUCUCUUUUUGUUCAUUUAUGUGGUCAUUUAAGAAAUCUUAUUUUGUGCUGGGAGUGUAAAGGUACUCAAAAUGCAGUCACAUCCCACAAGAAAUCUACAGGCUGCUGAGGGAUGAUAGAUAAAUUAACAAUAAUAAUACAAUGCACCAUUAUGUACGAAAGCUCCGUUAUGGAGUGUGUAUCAGAUUCUGUGUGAGCAUGUAGGAGAGGUUCAUAAUGCAAUUUAAAGGAUUUAGGGAAAUCUAAAUUGCAACCUGAAGGAUGGACUGGAGUUGACAUAGUGAAGGAGAUGGGGAACUAGGCAGAGGGAAUACAUCUGAAGUGAGAGAGCAUGGCCCAUUCAUGGAAAAUGUGCUAUUUAUAUACAGAAUGACCAUUAAUGACAGUGAUGUGAGAAGAAGCUGAAAAGAGAAAUGUUUUAGGCUUCAUAAGCCAUGUUAAAUAUUUUGAACUUGCUGCUUAUUACAAUGGGAAGAUGUUGAACGAUUACCAGAAUGUAAAUGACAAAAAUAACGUUUUGGCUACAAAACAAUUACUUAGGUUAGAGUAUGGAUGGUAAUUAGAUAAAGUGAAGAGAAUAGACACCACUCCUGCUACAGCCUGGAAUCUCUGUCUACAAAGUCUUUUGUCACAAUUUGAUCAGAAAGGAACUUAUUUGGCAAAUGAGCAAAUGCUGGAAUUUCUACUGACUUGGUAACUAAAUUUCAUAGUCUUUCCAGGUUCCAAAAGUAGGAUUCUCUAGUGUGGCCCUCCCAGUGCGGCAAGGUUGUUGCCCAUCAGCAUGGCAUACUUACCAUGUCUUAACUUGCAGGUGUUUUGCCUCUUCUGUCAGGGAGUCUGCAACUUUUCCUAAGUCUUAAAUGCCCCCUACAUUCUGCUGGUGAUCACAGUUCUGGUAGCAACACUCACAGCUCUAGCAAUAAGCUUCCUCAUCCGAGGUUUCCUGAGAGGACUCUGUCUCUCACAGUGUCAGUUUCUAAGUUCUUGAGAUUCAUAUAGGAGUCAUCUAGCACAGGACUUUCCCCCUCUUUUGACAUUCUCUAUUAUUUGCUUCUUACUCAGAGUCCUUGAUUUUUUUUUUUUUUUCUUUUCAGGGCCACACCCGCAGCAUAUGGAAGUUCCCACGCUAGGGGUUGAAUCAGAGCUACAGCUGCUGGCCUACACCACAGCCACAGCAACACAGGAUCUGAGCCACCUCUUUGGCCUACACCACAGCUCACAGCAAUUCUGGAUUCUUAACCCACUGAGCAAGGCCAGGGAUUGAACCUGCAUUCUCAUGGAUACUAGUUGGGUUUGUUACCGCCAAGUCACAGCAGGAACUCCCAGAGUCCUUAAUUUUAAUUCACUAUCCACUUGGGGAGAAGGCCUUCAAUGACUUUUCAAAGACUGGUCAUCCUUUUCCAAAGGUGCAUGACUCUGUACCAUGGGGUCCACUGAUCCACCUAUGCCCUCCGCAUGACUGGCUAUGCUAUUAUCUCAUGAAAACGUCAGUCUGGCAUUAAUCCACCUGGAUACCAGAAACAACCCCAAAUGUGCCCUAUUGUCUCUAAGGAAAUCCUUUGGGCAGAGCCAUUCUAGGAUCCCAUACCUGUUUCCCAGAACCUAUAACAUUUGUUUGGCUCACCUUUCCUGAACUGAAUUAAACUUUCAAAGAAGCAAAUGGCUCAAAAUCUCCACGUGUAGCUUGCCCCUUGCAAACGUGUCCCAAAUGCUGGUAGUGCAGUGUUGUGGGUUGGGAGGAGGCCUACUAUUGGGCCCUAGGCCGAUGGGGGCCCAUCAAGGUGAAGGUGAUGGAUGCAUUUGCACACGGAGGCAGUUAUUUUAAUAAGGAUGAUCUGAGUUAGCUCAGAAUAACCAGCUGCCUGUCUCCACAGGGAGCACCGUUUGACAUAAAUGAAGACAAGGACAGUGAUGGAGUCUGAAAGGGAGUUAAUUGAAAAGGAGUAGCCUGCUCUGAUCUGCAGAUUGAGCUCCUUAGGAGGAUUCCAGGAAGCCAGAGUGAGUCAAAUGAUUUUACAGACAGGAAUUUCCCUGGGAGACACAGACACCACAACUCAAUUGACCUCAUAUCAGGAAAAGGCCAACAUCACAGCAGCUCAAAGGGUGUUAGUUUCCCAGGGAUGCAUCUUCUAAUUGCAGUGUUCAUUAAAAUGAUGCCUUUUUUUUUUUCUUUUAGCCUUAGACAAGCUUUUAAAAAAUAUCAAAGGAAAGGAGAAUGAAAGAAUGGGGUGUUAAGUGUUUGACCCUUUUUCAUCUUCUAGCCAAAUGUCUCAGCCUUUGGGUUGCAAGAUAAAAGAAGUGUGAUUGAGGACCUAUUUCUCUGUGAAUUCCUCUGAGAAUCAAGAAUUAAUAAGCAUCUGUGCAAGAAGAGCCAGUAUUGAUUUUAUCUGCAUACCAUGUAUUCUCUACUAUGUAAUUCAAAGCUCUGCUCCAAUAUCUUUUUCAGAUAAGCUGUGUAGGACCCACCACCCUAUCUACAUCAGUGCCCUCAUCAUUCUCUAUCAAUAAUUACCCAGAGGAGUCCCCGUCAUGGCAGAGUGGUUAAUAAACCUGACUGGUAUCCAUGAGGAUGCGACUUUCGUCUCUGGCCUUGCUCAGUGGGUUAAGGAUCCAGCAUUGCUGUGAGCUGUGGUAUAGGUUGCAGGCAGAGCUCGGAUCCCGCAUUGCUGCGGCUAUGGCGUAUGCCAGUGGCUACAGCUCCGAUUCCACCCCCAGCAUGCGAACUUCCAUAUGCCGUGGGUGUGGCCCUAAAAAGACCAAAAAAAAAAAAAAAUUACCGUGAGGCAUUUUUCUUUAUGGUAUUUAUUAUGAUAUUAUAUUACAUUCUAUCAGUUUUUCUUUCUAACCUGUGACCUCCACGAAGAUAGGAACUUUGUUCAGUUCACUGCUGUUAUCUUCAGUACCUAGAAUAGUGCUUGGCAUGGUUGAAAUGAAUAACCAAAGUACCCUGGGCAAGAGUUUUCAUGUUUCUUUCUAGUAUGCUAUAUUCACUUUUUCCUUCGUUUGGAAAGCUAUUUCAUUUUAGAUUUUGAAGUUCUUUUAUGAUGAAACAAUAAUAACAAAGAGAUAAAAGUACCACUAAUAAUAAACAACAGAACAGCUAGUCAUAAUGGGGGAAGGAACACCAAAAAUUAAUAGCUGAAGAAAUAAAGCAUCAUAGAAAUGUGCAGCCUGAGUAUAAGUGUCCUGUAAAAAUAAGUUGGGUGAAGUGAACUGUUUAAGAGCUGUAGCAUAAAUUUUAUCAUAGAGUUAGUUUGUAUAUGUGAUUCUGAUAGAGCGAUCAACUCUGAUGAAUGAACUCUGAUGAAUGAACUCAUGCAUUUUUUAAUUGAAAAUUUGAAGAUAAUUAUAGAUUCAUAUACAGUUGAAAGAAUUAGAAAAGAGAGACCCUGGGAGCCCCAGUGCCAGCAGAGCUGGCCCAGUAGCAUCUAUCUUUUUUGUUUGUUUUUAAGUUUUAUUGAAGUAUAGUUAAUUUACAAGAUUGUGAUAAUUUCUGCUGUAUGACAAGUGACCCAGCCGUACAUAUACACAUACCCAUUCUCUCUCAGAUUCUGCAUAGAUCUCCACAGAAUAUUGGGUUGAGUUCUCUGUGCUAUACAGCAGGUCCCCAUUGGCCAAUCAUUCCAUGUACCUCAAUGUGCAUAUGUCAAUCCCAAACCCCCAGGCCAUCCAUCCCUCCUACCCCAGUACCACCUAUCUUUAAGUUCAGUGAGCCACAAUGUUGAUUUUAAGAAAUGAAACGAUGAGAGUUCUGAUAUUAGAUGGCAUCAUUGGAGACUCCAGGACUCACCUCCUCCCACGGACCUGAAAUCUACAGCUCUACAAGGAACUAUUCCUCUAAAAGAAAUCCAGAAACUGUCUGAGCAACUCCUAUACAUCGUGAAUGAGGAAAUAUUACAUCCAUAUGGAUAGGAAAGGCUGAUAUGUACUCUUGCUGUAAACCCUGCCUCUGGCACAGUGAACUACAAUUAGGUGGGAACUUACAACUCCCAGCUUCUCCCUGAGGAAUGGAAGGAUUGACCCCUUUUGGCACUGCAACUUUUAAGACUGUCCCCUGUGAGAUGGGUUCCCCAGCUCAAAUGCCAUUGGGACUUGGCAUCUAGGAGGCUCAUAGGACCGCAGUAAGAAAAGAGUUUGUAAAGGACUCACGGUAACUAUCCACCUCCCCCACCCUAGGAAUCAGCACAGCUGGAGCUGACCAGAAAACUCAUCUCUGCCUAUCCUGAAAGAGGCCUCCUCUUACUUCAAAAGCUGCUGCCCAGAGGGUGGGGCUUCUAAUGUAGCACACCUGUAGGGGUGACUGAGCUCCUUCCCAGAGACCAAGGAGGCUGGUGUGUGAGCACCGUCUCCGUGGUCUCUCUCUGGCCUGCUCCAGGAUGCUGGUGUCUCCACUGCAUUUGCUGGAAUAUUUCCAUUGAGGUGUCAACCUGCCCUUCAGAAAGGUUUGGAAAUUAUUUUAUUCUCUCUUUAGCAAUGAAGGAGAAUGGAGGUGCUCCUCAUCCUUGCAACACUGGCUGUUUUUUUUUUUUUUUUUUUUAAAUCUAUGCUCACUGGUCAUUUUCUUUUUAAUAUGAUGGUAGGUAUUUGUCUCUUUGUUUUGGACCAGUGGUUCUGCACUCUGGCAGCAUGUGGAUCUCCUGGUGAGCUUUGAAAUAAUCCUUGAGUCCCAAACCUAGCUGACUGAAUUACUCCCCAGGCACUUCUAAUAUUCAGCCAUGAUUGACAGCUACUGUUUGGGGCUAGGAGGGUAGCUAAUGCGAGAACAAAGUGCUGAGAUGUUGAUUUGGUAUAGGAGCUCAGAGUAAAGCAUGAAAUCGUAUCAGAACAACCACCCAAAUAGCCAAAUCAUCUGAUAAAUAUUAUUUAAUGAGCUCUACAGCUAAUCAAGGCUCGCUAUAUUUCCAGUGAAAUUGUUUCAAAGUAGUGUUAGAAAGCCAGGGAGCUUGGACAAUGCAGCUUGGGUGCAAAGUCCUGAGUCUCUGCUUAGAGUCACAAGCUUAAUGAGCAUCUGAAUUAUCAGGAAUAGAGGCGUGGCUUCUUGGCAAACUAUGCAUAUUGUGUGUAUGUGUAUGAAUGUGUGUGACUUAAACUUUUUAUUUUGAGAUAAUUGUAGACUCCCCUGCUGCUAUAAGAAAUAGAUCUCACAUACCCUUUUUCACCCCAGACUGUAGGGCAUGGGCAUAGACACAGUCCAGAUGCAGAACAUUCCCCCAUCAGUGGAAUCCCCCAUGAUGCUGUUCUUCAGCCACACCUACUUCCCUCCUAAGCCCGCUCCUUCCUCAACUCCUGGCCACCGCUAAGCUGAUCUAUUUUUCUAAUUUUA